rnacentral:lncRNA from 1 species
AGGAGACGCCCGAAUUCAAAAACCCAUAAGCGAUCUCGUUCCAUUGGUCUUGCUUCAAUUGUACGACACUACCGAAAGACACGUAAACAACUGAUGAAGGUGGCUUUGUGUCAAGCCAUUCGAUGCAAUCAUCUGCCUUCAGGAAGUCUCCAUGGACCGUUGUCUUUGGUGCCUUAGUAUUUCUGAAUAGCGGCCCAACGGCCCUGAUGGGGAAGAUUUCGGACAUGUGCUUGAUAAGCUCUGGUUCAAGCUCUUCGAAUGUUUCCAUCAGGAUGCAAAAUGGCUUGUCAAGAUUUUUGUACUGACCUAAAAUAGCCCUCCUCAAGAAAGGAUAAGGAGUUGUAGGAUACAAGUAACUAGGCACUUCAUCAUAUUUUAGGAGAGGCAUCCAUGGUAGUUGGACAUCUAUCUCGGGGUGCUCCUCAUCAGGGAAAGGUACAGUACCGUGAUAGUAAUGGUAAUAUGAGGCAAAACAAGCGCAGGAUUGAACCCAAAGCAUUGCAGAAGGGAGACCUAGACUUGUGGCCACAUCUGUAACCCAAGGAAUGAAAGGGUUGUUUAUGAGGCAAGAAACAGGCCGCCCUUGCUCUGCAUUUUUCUUGAUCAUUUGAGGAAUUACUUGUUUACCAACAAGCUCAAGUUGAAGUAAGUAUUGAUCAAGGUCUUGGUGCCUAUCCUCGUCCUCUUCCCAUCCAUCUGCAAAGAAUUCAAACCGGAUAAAGCCAUCACCAAACGGGGUCAGCUUAUCUAUGAUGUCACUGGCUUGUCUCAUCUGUUCGCCAGUGGUUUCUGUAGUGGAGAAGGUGACAAGGAAGCCUUUGGAGGCAAGAAUUUUUCCAAGUCUAAGUAAAGGAUUUACAUGGCCUUGGCCUGGGAAAGAAACAAGGAAGAGAUGGCCAAGAGACUCGGAAACCAUUUUUCUCUUCCGGGUUUUUGGACAGGCAGAGAGACGGAAGAGAUUGAUGAACAGGAGAGGACUUGAUGAGUUUGGGAAUGAGUGGUGAGCAUGGAAUGAAAGGAUGCUGAUAUAUAUACCAUUUAUAAGGAGUUACAUUCAAAGUUUUUAGUGAUAGAUAGAUCUACAGAGACUGUUAGUUGGCUGACGGUCAAAUGCAUACAAUGUUUCAAUUAUAACUCUUUCCUUGGCUUCUUCCAACAGAAGAUGAAAUAAAAUUUGAUUACGCUAGUUAAUUAACUGUAGCUUUCAAUGAUUUUGCAGUCAUAUUAGAGCAAAAUGUAUAUUGUGAUUAUAGAAGCGAGAAACACAUCUAUUUGCAAUUUUGCAUGUCGAUUAUUAUUCUCUUUUUCCGAUCAUGGAAAUCAGUAGUCAAGACAUGUUUGAAAAUCUUUGGAAAACACUCAGAAACCCAAUACAUCGGGUAAACCAACAACUUAUACCGACUGAAUGAUGAACAUUAUGGCCAAGGUUAGCUAGUCAUUCCGCCCAACAAUUGGCUUCGCAGAAGGUUUGUCGGAUCGGCACCUCCCAUUGCCUGGAAAACAACUGUUGAGUUUCUGUCAGGAUGGGAUCCUGGAUGAGUCUCCUCUAAAAACUGUCGCAAGAACUGCAGAAUCAACCUCUAGUUCAGUCCUGGUACAUCCUAAAUUCCAAGCUAAAUCUGGUCCGUAGAAAGCAGCCCACGAUUCAGCUUUCGUAGAGAACAAAUACCCAAUUUAGCUGCGAAGCCAUGAAUUUAAUUUAAGGAUUUAUGGCAGUAAUUUUGCAAUUUUAUUUUAUUUUAUUUUCUUUUUUAUAAUAUUAUGGCUUUGAGACUUUAAUUAGUAAAGCUUUAUUUUUUUACAUGUGAUACACUGCUGGUUGGAUAAUUUUUUUAGCCUUUAAAAAAAUAUAAAAAUAUUAAAAAGUUAAAAAUUUAAUGUGUCAAAUAAAAAAAAACUUUUAAAAUAUUAAAAUAUUGAUAUAUUAGAUGAUAUAUUAUUUUUUUUAAAAAAUAUUAAUAUAAUGAUAUAUUAAAUUGACCUCGAUCAACUAUAAUGAAACUCAUUAUCCAAGAUAGGAAAAUGUAAUAAUCUCAUGAAAGCUAUACAAAAACAAAUUGAAAAGGAAAUCGUGACAAAAAAAAAACCAAAUUUAAAAAAGAAAGCACUCAAAAAAAUAAACCAGUGCAUACAAGCCAUCUAAAACGAUGUUUGGGUCCAAUAGAUAAAAUUGAUCAGACACCCAAGACAGAAAUAUGAUCGUCAUUUUAAACGCCCCCAUAAAAGUUUCACCAUGUGAUAAAGGUCUUGAAGAAAUUCGAGUUAAAUUCCUUCCUUCUCGACCAAUUCAAAAAGAAAUCUCCAUUGCCAUUAAUCAUAAAUAAAGAUUGUUAUUGAGAUGGCCUGCGCUAGCUGAAUAGCUAGCCUCCCUUUCUUUUGGGGGCAAACCAAAUGAAUUCAUUGAAACAAGGAGCGAAAAGGCACUCAAGCGGAAAGAAAAGCAUCCUGAUGAGAGAAGCCGAAGCUCCCACAAAAUUACAGACCUACAAAAGCAGACAAAAGAAUCCAUUUCAGAGCCAAAAAAUAUGUGCUUCCAGUUUCAAAUCCUUUGAAGCAGAGCUCGAGACCAGUUAAAUGGUGUUACUUCAACAGCAACCAGUUAUGCCAGCUGUUUUGACCAUUAGUUCUAGGACCUCCACGAAAUUUUUUUGGGUUUGAUGGGUGGUUAAGAUAACAUACCCAUCAACACUCUUUCUUUCUUUCUUUCUUUCUUUUUAUCAAGAACGACGGGGAUAAAGCCUAAAACAUAAAAUUACAAUUUACAAGCAAGGUAACAUAUAUCCCAUGAUUAUCUUCAACGAUUGAAUUUGAAAACAUCCCAUGAUAGUCUUGUAAUUAUGGUAAUGAAUCUGUGGGCAUGCAAAUGAACAGAUAGAAUAAUGGUAGAGCAAUUCAAUUUAAUUGGUGAACAUUGUAUAAAGUCCCGAAUUUGAAGGACUGGGAGUACGAAGAAAAACACUAGUAUCUCUUUACAAUCAACGUAUUUUGUUGAAGAUGAUAUAUUUGCUAGUAUUGAGUUUGUGAUUGUAGGAGAGUGCCAAUCAAAUCAAUGGAGGGUGAUGGAGGAUGAAUAUCAACAAUGGUUGAUCACUUAAAAAAAAUUAAAAUAGUGUUUUUUUGAUAAAAAAAAAUUAUCAAGAGGUUAAAAGUUGAGUUUUUAUUUGAUUUACUCAAAAUCAAUCCAGAUUUUUUAUCAGUUUGAAUCAAGUUAUUUAUGAAAAUUUUGUGGUAUUCAAUAAGUAACUGAUGAUAUCCUAUUAAUUAUUUUUCAGAUCUAUAUUGAAAAAAAAUACAAAUAAAAAAAGAAAGACAAAAUGAAACUCAUAACUUGCUAAAAAUAAUAAAAAUAUAUCUAUCUAAAAUUUCUCUCUCGUAAUUGUAUUUAUUUAAAAAAAAACUCAAGGAAUGAGUUUGGGAAUGAGUGGUAAGCAUGGAAUGAAAGGAUGCAGAUAAAUAUAGCAUUUAAAGUUUUUAGUGAUAGAUAGAUCAACAGAGACUGUUAGUUGGCUGACGGUCAAAUGCAUACAAUGUUUCAAUUAUAACUCUUUCCCUGGCUUCUUCGAACAGAAGAUGAAAUCAAAUUUGAUUACGCUAAUUAAUUAACUGUAGCUUUCAAUGAUUUUGCAGUCAUAUUAGAGCAAAAUGUAUAUUGUGAUUAUAGAAGCGAGAAACGCAUCUAUUUGCAAUUUUGCAUGUCGAUUAUUAUUCUCUGUUUCCGAUCAUGGAAAUCAGUAGUCAAGAAAAACACUCAGAAACCCAGUACAUCGGGUAACCAACAACUUAUACCGAUUGAAUGUUGAAGAUUAGUUACAAGUGCAAGUGCACUUCAUUCCUUGACUUCUGGUUGUCUAUGAAAGAUUCUGCACUAGUAUAUGCUUUCCAGCACGUCAUGCUAAGAAGGGAUAUUCAGUUCCUGCUGACGUUCAAAUUUGUUUUUUGAUCAAUGCUAUCGUACAUAGUGUCGAAUUUCUUUACGGAAACCAACGUAUCUUAUCCUCACAAUUUGUGAUGCUGUUGAAAGUUUCUCUCAGUCACCACUCAGCAAUACGAUAUUUGUAUUGUUCGGAGUUCUUGGCCCAGCAACUUCCAAUUGAAUCCUGAUGAGAGAAGCCGAAGCUCCUACAAAAUUACAGACCUAUAAAAGCAGACAAAAGAAUCCAUUUUGGAGCCAAAAAAAUAUAUGCUUCCAGUUUCAAAUCUAUAAGUUAGCCAAUCCUUUGAAGCAGAACUAGAGACCAGUUAAAAAUUCAACUGUUUUGACCAUUAGUUCUAGAAGAUGUGAACAGUUUACAUCUAAAAGUGUUUUGUGCUGGUGGGGUCGGGAGAAUGGUUCUGAUCAACUUGUGUGUGUGAUUUAUGCUUUGCGCUUUGCAGGGCAAUGCAGAGUACUUUUUUUUAAUAGAAAAAAAAUAAUACUUUUUAUAUAUAAAUAAAUUAUAUUAAAGUUAAUAAAUGAUAGCUGUGAAUUAUGUAUUCCAAAAACAUUAAGGAUUGGUUGAGAUUGGAAUUUUUUUUUCAUGCUACUCAAUAUGAAAACUUUGUAUCAUAUAUUUGUGUUUAGAUUAAUAUUGUUUUGUUUUUCUAUUGAAAGAUAGUUUUAUAAUUUUGAAAAUACCUAAAAUAAUUUCUUGGAGACUCACAUUGAUAUAGAAAUUCUUGCCAUUGGCCUAGAUUAGAGGGAGAAUCAAUAUAUUUCCUUAAGAAAAAACAGAGAGAGAUGAUGAUCAAAAUCUCUUUCUAUUUUGGAGUUGAUUAAUUUGGUUGCACGAUGAGUCUACCUAGCAAGCCACAACAUAAUAAUUCUUAAAUACCAAAAAAUAAAAUUUAAAAUAUUUAUGAACUAAAUUAUUUUUUUAUUGUUUCAUGCUUCAAGAAAAAAAAAAGAAAAAAAAAGCAAGAGAAUCUAGCCCUUACCAAAACCCAGACCAGCAAGCUCAGAGGUGUCGUUUAGCCGGGUUAUUACCCAUCAAAUAUAAAAUGACAACAACCCAAGAGGUGUCGUUUAGCUCUUAGGCUGCGUUUGUUUCCCGAAAAGUGGUUUUCAGAAAACUACUUUUCAAAUUUUUCUGUAUUUAUUUGCCAUUAGGAAAGUUGAUUAACGAAUAACACUUUGCGGUCAACGGAAAACACUUUUCAAUCAAAUAAAAAUUUGGCUUGGUUUCCAGGAAAGUGUUUUCCUUUUAUUUUGGGUGGAAAACACUUUCCGGAAUUUGUGAAAAAUUUAGAAAUGUCAUAUUAUUUGUUGAUUAUAUCAAAUUUGGUCCUCAAAUUUUUGAUUUCUAUAUAUAUUUUGUUUUGAAUAUUUGUUUUUCAAUUUCAUCCUUUAGAAUUUAAUUUUUAUAUUAACUUUGAUCCUCAUUUUUAUAAUUGUUAUUUGAUUUUCCCUUAACAUUUUUUAAUUGAAAAUUUUUAUCUAUCAAAUUUGAUCCUCAUUAUUUUGAUUGUUACUUAUUUUAUUUGAAAUAAUUUAUGAAAUUUUAAUUAUUAUUAUUUUAAUUUCUUCAUCUUUCAUUUUUUUUUUUUUAGAUUUGAUUUCUAUUAUUUUGAUUAUUAUUUAUUUUAUUUGAGAUAAUUUGAAAUCAUUUUUUUUCAAUUACAUUCUCAUUCAACUUUUUAAUUUGUAAGAUUUGUUCCUCAUUAUUUUAAUAAACUUGAGAAAAAUAAAACAUUAAUAAGUUAUUUUCCAGCUCAUUUUCCAUGACAUAACCAAACACUAGAAAGUAUUUUUCAAUUUAUUUUUCAUUACACUACCAAACAUCGGAAAAUAAUUUAUUUUUCCGGAAUUCAUUUUCCAAAAAAAACUACUUUCCAGCAAACAAACGGGGCCUUAAAUACACAUUUUUUUACCGCAUUUGUUACCACAAACGGGGCCUUAAAUACACAUUUUUUUACCGCAUUUGUUACCAUGCAUGUGAUUGGUUAUCUACUUUAGCUGCAUGCCUUAUAUGGUUUUUUAAUAAUGUGAGUAUAAUUUUAUUUAUACAUAUUUACUUAUAUAUUCUAUGUGAGUAUAAUUUUAUUUAUACAUAUUUACUUAUAUAUUCUAAUAAAAAAAUUAUCUUAACAAUUCGUUUAUAUUGAUACUUUUAGUCAGAAAACCUAUUGAAGAAUAAAUCUUUGAAUAAUAUUUUUUAAUGUUUUUCAUAGAUAUGUGAGGCUUACCUUUCUUUAACAUAAAAGUAACUUUUUAUUUAGCUCUUUCAAGCUAUAAAAUUACUUUUGACUCUCUCGUUGAAAACACCACCUUCCUUUUCUCCGCUUAUUUCACCUACCAUAGUUAUUCACGGUGGUGAAAGUUAAAUAUGAGUUAUUGAGUUUUAAAUAAUAAUAUGUAUGUUUCACACACAUUAAAUUUUUUUUAUGUAUAUUUUUGUGUUGAUAUUAAAAAUAAUUUUUUUAAAAAAAAAUAUUAUUUUAAUAUAUUUUCAAACAAAAAACAUUUUAAAAAGCAACUAUUAUCACAAUAACAAAUAUGUUCGACAUCUUUGAAAAUUUGUAAAACAAAUAUGUAUUUAAUUCUCAAAAAAAAUAAUCUCAUUGCUAUCUCAGCUAGAACACAAGAUAAGACAUUUUAUUUUCAAUCAAUAUUAAUAACUUGCAUAUUAUUUUAAAAAAAUCCACCUUUUAAACUAACAUAUAAUUAUUCAUAAAAAAAUUAAAAAUAUUUAUAAAAAACUUCAAUUGUUUUUUAAAAACAAAGAUAUAAUUGAACAACCAUUUAAAUAUAAUUGAACAACCAUUUAAAUAUUAUUUUAAUAAAUUGAUUCCAAUAUAUAUUUUUUUAUAAAAAAGGAAACAUCCAAAAACCUGGUACCAAGGUCUUUAGUGGCAGAAAGCGGGCUUGGAUAUGCAGGACUCCUAACUAUCCUUGUACACUAUUGAGCACAUAAACAAUGGAAACCUGGUCCGAAACCAUUAACGCUGGUGCUGAAAAGUGAAAUACAUAUAAAAGAUCGAGGUUACAUUUCUGCUGGUAGUGAAAAGUGAAAACUUCUUCAAUUUAUUUUCAGUGAAAAGCUUUUGAUUUUUUGAAUGUUUAAAAAAUAUAUUUAUUUGAAAAAAAUAUUAAAUUAAAAUUCUUUAUAUGUUUUUCAAUAAUUUUGAUAAUAUAAUGAUAAAAAUUAAAAAAUAUAUUUUCAAAAAGCAUAUUAAUGCAAUGAACUACUGUUGCAGGCAUGAAUAUUCCAUCAAUAUCAAUAUAUCGAGCAUUAUUUUAUUUUAUUUUAAUAUCAUCUCUGCUUUCUCACAUCCAGACCACGUAUAUUUCUUCAGUCCGGUUAAAAAAAGGACCAUUAUUAGUGCUAAAAGUAGAGUAACAUAGUCUUAAAUAUGAUAUGAUCUACAUUUCAGGAUUUGGAAUUCUUUCCUUGGAAUAAAUAAAAGGUAAACAAAACUUAAUAAAAAAACGCAGUAAUCCUAGCAUUAUCCAAUCACAAUUAUUGGCCUUCGUUGCCUUAUGUAUAUUGAUGAGGAAACAACGAGCGUACAACCAUCGCUUGGCAGGAUUAUCACUAACGUCCUUGCCUUAAUUAAUCUUCAUGUCACGAUUUAUCAUUGCACAAUCCCUUCACGGAACCGUGCAUACUUCAAUUGAACCACAACUCUCAAUAAUUUCAUCUACAAACAACUGAAUAUUCUUGUCCGAUGAACCACCACCGGCAACUGCCUCUCUUGCCGCGAUCCUCAAUUCCCUUGCAUUGGAUUUAAGCUCCACAGACUUUGGUCCGUCCAUGAUCUCUCUAAUACAUCUUUCAACUUCCUCAUUGCUAACAAUCCCAUCUUGAUUUGCUCUAAGCCUUAGACCAAUGCGAAAAACAUCAACAAUAAGUUUUGCAUUUGUUGGCUGGUCGCUCCACUUGGGGUAUGCAAUCACCGGCACGCCCGCAGCAAUUGUUUCUAACAUAGAAUUCCAUCCACAAUGAGUUAUAAAACACGCAAUAUAUAGCUGGGUGGGCUAAAACUUUGGUUUGUGGAGACCAUGAUACAACCACCCCUUGGUCUUUGGUCUCCUCCAAGAAUCCUAAUUAACGGCAAUUGUCCUGCACCAUCAGGUUCUUGUAAGUCUGGUUUCUUAACCGCCCAAAUAAAUGGAGUGUUACUGUUCUUCAGGGCUUUCGCCAUGCACUCCAUUUGUUUGGCUGAUAAGACAACAAGGCUUCCAAAAGAUAUAUACGUAUAUAACUGAAGAAGGGGCUCCCUUGUUUAACCAUUCAAUGCAAGUAUCUUCUGCUUUCCACAUCUCGACACCCGUAUCGUGAUCUUUAUCUUCACCAAGAAGUGAUGGAAGAACUAGAGGGCCAAUGGGACUAAUAGGGCAGAGAUCAGCCAUGGACUCAAUAGCAUCUUUCUCAAGCCCAAAGCAUGAGUUCCCAAGAACCCAUUUAUACAUCUUCAUGUUCUGGAACAUCUCUGAGAACAAUUUAGGAAAGAUACCAUAUGGAUUUGAAGGAAGAACAAAAGAAGGUAAAUCUUCCGUAUUCAACAGUGGCAAGCCUGGCAACUCAACACUCAUUUCAGGAUCUGUUAAAGUAGGAAAUGAGUUUAGCUUAUUGUAAAAGCGAUAAUAAAUGGCAUAAAGUGAACAUGGCUGUAUCCAAAACAUGGCACAGGGAAUUCCAUGAUUGAUGGCAACAUCAGCUACCCAGGUAACAAAUGGGUUGGUGAUGAUGCAAGAGAGCUUUUUGUGACCAUUACUGGGGAAAUGCUCCUUUAUAAGGUUUGAGAGAUUGAUGGUUCCAAAUUUGGCUAAACUCUUCUUGUACGAUUCGUAAUUAACCAUGCGGUCGUAGUUUAGGCUUUGACCAUCAGAGAAGAAGCGAACCUGGACUCCAGAGAUUGAGAUGGUGGAGGAGGUGGGGUUGAUGGUGGAAGAUUUGAGCAUGCGGUGACGGGUGAAUUCAGUGGUGGCCAGUGUGACAUGGAGACCUUUAUUGACCAAGCAUUUACCUAGUCUAACCAUGGGGUUUAAGUAACCCUGAGAUGAGAGUGCCACCAUUAGCACAUGAAUUUCUUCUUCUUUGUUUUCCUUCAAGAUUUCCAUGACUUCACAGCUCACACAACGAGCGAGAGAAAGAGAGAUUAGGUUAAGGAGGGCAGGCGAUUGACAAAUCACUGUAUAUGGAAAAAUCACGAAGGACAACUCAGCAAAGUAUAGACGCAGGCAAUGACGCAUGGCAUUAUAGGGAUCCAGAUUAAUAGUGUGUUUGAUAUUAUGAUAGCUGUUGUGGUUGUGAUUUAAAAAAAAUUAUUUUAUAAAAAGUAUUUUUAGUUGAGGUUGGUUUGAAAAAAUAGGUGUUUGGUUAAAACUGUAGUUAAAAUUGAGGUUGAAGAAAAAGUAGUUUUAACGUGUUUGGUUAAAAAAAUGUUUUUCAAAUUGAGGUUAUAAAAUAAUUAUAUAUAUAUUAAUGAUUUUUAACUUAAAUAUUGUAGAUUUAACUACUGUUAUUACAUCAUGAAAUAAAUAAUAUUGAUAUCAAAUAUUUUUUAUUAUUCCAUUAAACUAUAUACAAUGUCAUUACAUACGAAAUCUAUCCAACAAGGACUAUAUUUUUUAUAGUUUCUUAAGCGCGCAACAACAAAAACUGAUUUUUUAAAUUUAUGUAGUGUUAUUAAAUAAUAAAGAUUGUGAUAUCUUUAUUAUUGGAAUUGCGAUCAAAUUCCACAAAUGUUACGUCAUCAUGCGAUAUCUUUCUAAUUUAUGUAGUGUUAUUAAAUAAUAUUAAAUACUAGUUUUUUAAGUACAACACAAUUUUUUUUAAAAAAAAUUACAAUUUCAUUAUAGUAUAAUUAAAUUUAAUUCACCUUAAACUAAUUUUAAAAAAAAAACAAAAAAAAAUAUUGUUCACGAUUAACUGCACUGGUGUUGUUCGGGAAAAAAAAACUAAACUUUUCUUAUUGGUUUUUUUUUUAAAAAAAAAGAACAUCUUCACUGAACAGUGGAGCCAUGAGAAGCAGCAUUUUGCUGCUUCUCCAAUCCAGCGGCUGGGCAGCAAAAAUCAGUAGUCCCUACCAAGCAAAAUCAGGUUUGUUUACUUUACUAAAUAUAAAAAUAUAUGGUUGCGAGUGAACCUUACCCGCAACCACAAUACCAAACACCUAAGAAGGUGAGAAUGACAAAACUCAAAUCAAAGUGUUAAUCGUGUAUCCAAUCUCGAAAAGAAAUUAGAAAUAAAUAAAUAAAAGUGUUAAAUCAUCAUCAUGAAGAAAGAGAAUAAGAAAAAAUUAAAAGUAGUAAUCCAUUAUCGUUGAUAAGUGAUUUUGAUUGUUCUAUCUUAUUUUAAAAAUCUUCGUCCACUUUAAGAUUCUCGGUGCACUUUAUUAGUGUUAAACGUUGUAAUAAAAAUUAUUUUUUAAAAAAAAUAAAUUAAAAUAAUAUAUAUAUUAUUUUUUAAAUUUUAUUUUUAAUAUUAACACAUUAAAAUAAUUCAUAAAAUAAUAUACAUGGUCGGAUAAACAAAUAACCUUUUUAAAUUAAAAAGCGAUGAGUUCAUGAUACAUAAUUUUAUUAAAAAAAAUUAUAAAACUUAAUUUUUAAUAAAAAUAAUAUUAAAUAAUAAAAUUUAAAUUUAAAAAAAAUAAAGAAAAUGAAAAAAAUACUCUAGUAAAUAAUAAUCAAGUAGGAGGGGUACAGUUUAUUUGCUAAAAUGACAGGCACGUCCCUCCCUGGAUGGGCUCAAGUAUUGCCCCUUUUAUUCCACACCAAAAAAAAAAAAAAAAAGCAGCCCAUCAAGGGAAAACCACCCAGAAAGCUGGUCCCAAACUCUCGGCGGACAGAAAGCGAUCUCAGCAGUCUGAUAUCAACAUUAUAAAAAUGGAGUUAACUAACCGCUUGUCAAAGUGAUUUCAACAUUCAACCCAAGUAAACAGAGCAAAGCCAACUUUCUUUGAUGAAUGUUAGUUCUAACCGCUCUAAUUUCUUAUAAUUAUAUAGUGAAAAAAGACUUGCUGGACGUUUUCCUAUUAAAAAAAAACUCAAAGUUUGAGCAUUCUGUUGCUAAACCUUGCUAUUAAUUAUUAUAUAUUUAUUAUAGUUAUUUAAUUUAGGCUUCCACGCCACUAGAAUGACCACAACUCGCACAGUAAUAGUCGUGCUUGUAGAAUUAAAAAAUUUCCAAUUGAUUUGACAAAUAUUUUGGUGGUCUUAUUUGUUAAAUGUCAUCUUAUUUUUUGUUAUGGUAAUUAAAUUAAAUUAAAUAUUUGAAAAAUCAAGGUUUUAUUUCCAAAUAUCAUUUUUGGAUCACUUAAGCCUUUUUUUUUAAUGAUUACCAAGUUUGUGAGGUGUUAUUUAAAAAAAUAUUUUACAAGUAAUUUUAUCAGUUGUCAUUUAUUUUUACAUAUCUUUCACUCAAAAUCUUCAAAUUUAACUCUUUAAACCUCUAUAAAUAAAUAAAGGGAUUCACUAUCACAAGAAAGGAAAGGGAAAAAAAAAAGUUAUACUCAAGUAUUGAAACUCUGCAAAAAAAAAAAGCUGCCAAGCCUUGCACCUCAGUAGAGUUCACCUUCAAUACUUUGAGGAUAAAUCAAAGAAGUUAUCAAAUUUUGCUCAAAACUUCAUAUCACACUUUGCAAAAAGCAUGCCAAGUCUUCACAUUUUUCAGGAUAAAUUUGUAGGUGCAAUGCCAUAUAUAACGACCACGACUUGCAUAGUAGUGGUGGUGCUACAAUAUCAUAGUUUUUUAGGGUGGGCUACUGGGCUUGAAAUGUUUUCACAGGCACCUAAUACUCUUUUAUGUCAGAGUGAUGUUGUGUUUUCUUUUCAUGAAUCAAACACAAAUUACACACAUAAAAUAAAUUUAAUAAAAUUUUAUAUAAUUACCGUAUUUUAUUCGUAGAACAUGAAUCGUGAUACUUGUACAAAAAUCUUAUAAUAUUUAAUUUAAUUUUCUUUAUAAAAGUUUGUCGUUAUAGUCCCCACACAAAAAAGAAAAAAGUGCAAAAAAACACAUUCCCAACCAAACCAAAAACAAAUAAUAGUAGUGAGAAGAGGAAGUCAGAGUUCCUAGAAAAUAAUAAAAAAUUAGUUGAGGAUGUUAAAAAAAAAUUAAAAUUUGACAGUAUAUUUUUUACUAAUGAGAGCCAUGUUGACAAGAAAAAUUGAAUUUAAGAAAGAAAAGUUCAAAAUCAGAUAUUUAUAGACUCAAUUGAAGGUUUAAUUGAAUUUGUAGAGGGUUUGAUUGAAAGAAAAAUUGAUUUUAAGUCAAUUUAAGCUUUAAUUGAAAGAAAUUAAAGUACAGGGCUCAAAUUAUAAUUUUUAAGAGUUGAUUUGGUCAAAUCAGGAGCUUCAUUGCAUAAAUAUCAAAGUUUGAUGCCCAAUUAGGGACUUGAUUGAAGAAAUCCAAAACCAAUAACCAAACUAGAAAAUACAAAUAAAUAAAGGAACUGAAAUUAUCCGAAUCAAGAGCCAAAUUAAAAGUUUAUUGAUCAAUUGAGAUUCAAAUUGGAUAAAUUCGAGACCAAGUAUCAAAAUGAAAAGGACGACCAACUUUAGAGUUGACAUUUAAUUUUGACAAAGACACAAUUAAAUCGAUUCUUAAAAUUAAAAUCGCAACUGAAAACUUGAUUGAACAAAUAAAAAAUUUAAAACUUAUUUGGAAAUUAAUACAUUUUAACGUCAUUUUCUUUCAAAUGAAACAACAUCGUUUUGUUAAAACGGCAUUGUCUCAUGCAUUGUUCAUAAAAAAAGCCCAAAAUAGUGCCGUCUUGAACUGCAUUGUGUGUCUUCUUCUUCCCUGACUCACAUAGGCAGGGGAAGAAGGUUUUCGUCCCCUCUUUUGCAGCGUCCGUUUGGCUCUCUCCUAAGAACUCAAAACCCCGACACAAUCCACACCCUCUCAUGACAUACUACCAUGAUGAAAAAGCUAGGAGAACCAUGCCUAAUUGCGACUUUGGGGCGGCUGCAUAGAGGUCGCCUCAGCCACCCUACCUUUACACCAUGACUGGACAAAAAUAGUAGCUCUUUCUUCCCCUUUCCGCCCUUAUAAAUACUAGGGGACAGAGAGGAGCAGGGGACGAAAAAACGAGUGAAAUUAUAGAGAGAAAGAAAGAAAAAGAAGAACAAAAGAGAAAAAGAAACAAGGAACUUGAGAACUAAACAAGAAGAGACAGAGAGGAAAGAACUUAUAAAAAAGGGACAGAAACAAGAGAAGAGGAUGAAAACAAAAAUAGAGAGGAGUUACAUAAGAAGUGAAACAAAGGAAAAACACACUGGAAAAAAAAAAACUGUCGACCGGCACAACAGCUCCCUAUUGCACAGCCACCUUGUUAGGAAGAAGAACAGUUCCUCGCCGCGAACCAUCGCCAGCCGCCACCAGUAGCACUGCCACCGCUAGAGAACAAAAGGAGAAGAACAGAUAAAUAUAGGGAAGGAAAAGAGAUAACAGAAGACAAGCAGAAGGAAAAUACAGAGAAAGAGGAAGAACAACCAGCAGCGUCCUCCGCAAACCACCGCCAGUCCUCUUCGCCCAACGUCAACAACAGCACCGCCACUGCAGGUCAGCUUCCACCUCCUUUAUUUUCCUCUUCUCCUUCUCUGCGUGCAACCUCUACUGUUCACGUUUCUGAGCAGAAACUGCCCUUACCUUGCAUUAUUUGUUGUAUAACGAACCAAAUAUCGACCUCAUUCACUUCACUUGCCUCCUACAAUUACUGUCGUUUGCUCAAAGCUAUAUGUUCUACUUUCUAGCUGCUGGCUGAUCAUUAUACUGGGAGCAAGUAUCGAGGAGCCUGACACCCUCGAUUCCCCAUGCACCUUCUUUCAUUUCUCGUUUAUUUGUAGACGUGCUAGUAUAUGUUUUGGAAUGAUGAGUCUCUCUCUUAUGUUAUUUAUUAUUAAAAUGAAAAUAAAGUGUGCGUAGGGACAUCAUGUUAAACUAAAAAAACUAAAAAAAAGAAAAUGAAAGCAAGGAAAACAAAAUGUCAUAUUUUGGCAAUAGAAUACUCAAGCCAAAAAUAUGCUUAAAUGACUUAUAUUGAAACCUUUGAGAUUGUGCUCCAUCUGCAUGACUAGGAUUUACAUAUGGGUCAAGAUUAAUGUAUACUUUUUGAAUAUUAUCGGCAUUAUUAACUAAAAAUUCAACUAUUUGCCAAUAUAAUUCUAGAUUACGUUUAAGAGUUGUAAUGUUAAAUUUUAAACCAUGCAUAAUUCUUUUUUAAAGACUGAAAAAAUUCUUAAGACCCUAUAUUUUCAAAACUAAAAGGUUUAGAAUUUGUUGUCCUCCACCCACUUGAUGAUCUAUCACUUACUUUCUUAAAACUUAAAUCUAUAUCUUUGUAUUUCUUUGGAUUUUUGUUACUCCUCGACAUUAUAAAGAUACUAUAUAUAAUAAAAUUUAUACCCAAAUCAUAAGACAAUCAUGAAUACAAUAAAAACUAAAAAUAUUACAACAACUUUAAUUUUCAACAACCAUUACAAGCAAUUCAAACCAAUAAGAUUUUAGCAAAUUAUAAAUAGGAGAGUACAAAAAAUCGACAACAACCAUACAUAUGGCACUUGGCCUUUACUGUAUGUUAUUAAUACCUAAUUAAAAGAAGUAAAGAGUAGACAACUACAUAACAAGAGUAAUUUCAUCAUACUAACACAGGAUCAAACCCGUUCCAUGUUCACUGCAUAUAUAGCAAAUCUCCUCAUGCCGAUCACCCCACCAGUUCAACCACUUUCUCGUUGGACUUCACCACUACCGACACUGGAAACUCAUUAGAACCAAUGCACUUCCCAGCAAUCUCAGACUCAUUCGCUUUUACAAUAUCGUCAGUAAAAUAUCGUAUAUUCCAGUCGGAGGAACCACCCUCAGCCACUGCUGCCUCGGCUGCCUCCUUCCAUUUCAUUGCAUUCUGCUUCAUUUCCACUGCCUUAGGUCCCACUGUGGCCUCCAACAAGCAUUUCUCUAUCUCAUCACGAGUAAUCAGUUUGUUCUCUGCUUCUCCGCGGCACAAUCUCACACCAACCUUAAGGAUGUCGACCAAAUAUUUUGCAUUAGUUACUUGAUCACCCCAUUGAGGGAAAGCCACCACUGGCAUGCCUGAUGUGAGUGCUUCCAUAGUAGAGUUCCACCCACAAUGUGUUACAAAGCACGCAACUGAUGGGUGACCUAAAACCUUCUCUUGAGGACUCCAUUGCACCACAUUGCCCCUGUCUCCUGCUUUCUCCAAGAACCCAUCUGGCAGAACAAGGAGGUCAUUUCCUGAAUCUUUGUGGGGUGGUUUCAUAACUAACAAGAAGGAGACGCCCGAAUUCAGUAACCCACAAGCCAUCUCGUUCCAUUGGUCUUGCUUCAAUUGUACGACACUACCGAAAGACACAUAAAUAACUGAUGAAGGUGGCUUUGUGUCAAGCCAUUCGAUGCAAUCAUCUGCCUUCAGCAAGUCUCCAUGGACCGUUGUCUUUAGUACCUUAGGAUUUCUGAAUAGCGGCCCAAC